rnacentral:tRNA from 1 species
UUUAGGGAGACCUAAGGCACAUACCAAGUAGCAGCACAAAGGGAAGAGAUAUCAUGAGUAAGCUAUUGAAAAUAAAUGCUUGGAUGUUAAGCCUAAUCCCAAGGUCGGAACGAGUGAUGGGAGCAAAAGUUUCAAACUAUUGGUUAGGUUCGUAACCAUUAAUCAAGGGAUAUUAGCUCAUGUGGUUAGAGCGCACCCCUGAUAAGGGUGAGGUCCCUGGUUCAAGUCCAGGAUGGCCCACCAGAUAAUUAUGUCAAUGGGAGAAAGAGAACAGCACUUACACCAACACGGAAUCAGUGCAACUGAGGAAGAGGGUGGUAGGGAUGCUGGAGGAUGACUCCAGUAAAUGAACCUUGAAAACUGCAUAGCCAGAUGUCUGCCCAGCAUGUGAGUAUCUGACGAGACAAUGAUUAUUGAAUCGUUGGAACGAAAUGCAAGCAAGAAAAAGAACAAUUGGUCAAGCUACCAAGGGCUAAUGGU